UCUCUGGGGAGAAAUGCUCUGGUGUGGGAGCUACUACACAAGGAACACUAAUGUAGAGAAUUAAUUUAAUUUUUCUUCUACAGACUUACUUUCUGUGAGUGCUCGAGGAACGUGUUGAACAUCUGUCAGUAUUAAGACUUCCUGCAGUCAAUCACCUGUGGCAGCGAGUGGUACUGAAAGCUAAGCUGGACAACAACUGGAAAGCCUGGCUUAAACAGAGGAAGAGGAGGAGAAGAUGUAAUAGUCUGCCUGAAGAAAGAUGGAUGGGAACAAUAAAUGAGUCUGGACCUCAUUAAGGGAGAAAUGCACUUCUCAAGUGACAGCCCAGUUGUGCAGACUGAAGGAUGCGAUGAAUAUGCACUAAGCAAUGUACAUGGAACAAAGCAAUACACAGCUCUUGAACACUGGAACUUCUUUAUAUUAGUACUUGUGUAAGGGAAUCAGUAGUAGAAAGGGUGGGGGGUGCUGAAUAGUGAAUUCUGUACCACUUAUCUAAAGGAUGACGCACCUAUGUUUAGUUAAAGUUGGGAAAUGUCCAGGGACCCUUAUUGCAACAUGACGGAUGCACAGACUGCUAAGUCCUUGGGUUGGUUAUCUUUAAAAAGGGACAUUUUGUCUUACAUUCCUGUUGUACAUGCAGCGUGGUGAAGAUGGAGACUUUAAACAUGACCGCUAAGGAAUAGAGUCUGCAUAGAGACAACUCCUCAAGGACAUUGUCCAGGCACAAGAUAUGCUAAUGUUGUUAACUUGAAGAUGUGCUGGGUCCUUGAAUGGAAUGUGCUGAUUGUCCAGGUGUGAGAUAUGUUAAUGAGUUCCCGGAAAGUUGAUGAAUAGACAUGAGUGACUUGUAUAAGGAGGGGGCUGAGGGGUUCCCUCGGUGUGCAUGACUUUGGUGGAGCGAUCCCCCAUGCACCCAGCGCUGCCAAUAAAGGAUACUUAGUCACUCAGAAAUUUUGACUUCGUUCUUUAAAUCAAUGCUCAGGUAAGAUGGAAUUGGGAGGAACAGGAACUGUUGUCACUUGUCUAUAAUGUAACUUGCUCAACCGGCAAGGAAAAUGCAAGUGUUGGAGCACUGCAAGCUGUAAGAAACUGCACUGCAAGCCAUAAGAAACUUUAGAGUGUCUUGAGCAGAGUAAUAAUAUGCAAGACAGAUCCUGAUCUUGUCAUUUUAAUGUUUCAACAUUGGCAAACGAUCAUUAAAAAAGUUGGAAAAAAAAAUCUUUACAAAGGCAAAUGACUUUUAUGCAAGAGAAGACUUGUGUUGCCUUGUAUUUAUUCACAGUUUUUAUUGCCAGGUGGAAGAUUGUGAUAAUCAGUGUAAUAUAUUAAGAUUAAUA